GUGCUUGCUUUGGCAGCACAUAAGCUAAAUUGGAAUGACACAUAGAUUAGCAUGGCCCCUGUGUAAGGAUGACAUGCAAAUUCAUGAAGCAUUCCAUAUUUUU